rnacentral:rRNA from 1 species
UUCGCCCUUAGAGUUUGAUCCUGGCUCAGGAUGAACGCUGGCGGCGUGCCUAACACAUGCAAGUCGAACGAAGCUUGACGGAUGAUUUCUUCGGAAUGAAACUAGAUAUGACUUAGUGGCGGACGGGUGAGUAACACGUGAGCAACCUGCCUUUCAGAGGGGGAUAACGGCUGGAAACGGUCGCUAAUACCGCAUGAUGUGUUCGGAUGGCAUCAUCUGAACAUCAAAGAUUUAUCGCUGAAAGAUGGGCUCGCGUCUGAUUAGAUAGUUGGUGGGGUAACGGCCUACCAAGUCUACGAUCAGUAGCCGGACUGAGAGGUUGAACGGCCACAUUGGGACUGAGAUACGGCCCAGACUCCUACGGGAGGCAGCAGUGGGGAAUAUUGCACAAUGGGGGAAACCCUGAUGCAGCAACGCCGCGUGAAGGAUGACGGUUUUCGGAUUGUAAACUUCUUUUCUUAGUGACGAAGACAGUGACGGUAGCUAAGGAAUAAGCAUCGGCUAACUACGUGCCAGCAGCCGCGGUAAUACGUAGGAUGCAAGCGUUAUCCGGAUUUACUGGGUGUAAAGGGAGCGCAGGCGGGACUGCAAGUUGGAUGUGAAAUACCGUGGCUUAACCACGGAACUGCAUCCAAAACUGUAGUUCUUGAGUGAAGUAGAGGCAAGCGGAAUUCCGAGUGUAGCGGUGAAAUGCGUAGAUAUUCGGAGGAACACCAGUGGCGAAGGCGGCUUGCUGGGCUUUAACUGACGCUGAGGCUCGAAAGUGUGGGGAGCAAACAGGAUUAGAUACCCUGGUAGUCCACACUGUAAACGAUGAUAGCUAGGUGUGGGGGGUCUGACCCCUUCCGUGCCGGAGUUAACGCAAUAAGCUAUCCACCUGGGGAGUACGACCGCAAGGUUGAAACUC